rnacentral:rRNA from 3 species
AAGUUUAAAGACGAAUCUAACUAACAGUGUCGUCCAAAUUCUGGUGCCAGAAGACUCGGUAAUACCAGAGACGCGAACGUUAAUCAUCUUGAAUGGGCAUAAAGGGUUUGUAGGCGGCUUAUUUAUUAAUAGGCUAGAAUCUUAUAGAGGUUAAUAAAAUACUUAGAGGAGGGCUGAUAUCCUUAGAUCCUAAGUGGAAUCCUAAUUGCGAAGGCCAUUUUCCACUACAGAUUGACGCUGAUACACGAAGGUUAGGAUAGGAACUAGGAUUAGAGACCCUAUUACCCCUAACUGUAAACGAUGAAUGGAAGAUAUUUACAACUGUAAGUGUCGAAGUGAAUACGAUAACCAUUCCGCCUUGCCAGUAUACUUGCAAAAGUGAAAACAAAAAAAUUAGUCGGUCCUAAAGCAAACG